CGCAUUUCCGAAGGAGUGCUUGAAUCGCUUCCCUUUGGCCGUCUUCUUGUCACCCCGGCCGCAGUAUACUAGAGGAACCGCCUGCUGGGGAUGGAUUGCCGGAAACGAAACGGAAACGGAGAGGGAAGCUCCGGCGAGGGACUCGGCGCGGGAGAAGGAGAGACGGGAGGAGUUGGAGAGGGAGAGGGGGGCCAUGGGGCGAGCCGCGGCUCCGACGAGGGAUAGCAG
rnacentral:misc_RNA from 1 species